AUUGAACGCUGGCGGCGUGCCUAACACAUGCAAGUCGAGCGGUAACAGGUGUAGCAAUACAUGCUGACGAGCGGCGAACGGGUGAGUAAUGCUUCGGAAUCUGCCCAUGUAGUGGGGAAUAACCAGCCGAAAGGUUGGCUAAUACCGCAUACGACCUACGGGUGAAAGCAGGGGAUCGCAAGACCUUGCGCUAUUGGAUGAGCCGAAGUCGGAUAGCUUGUUGGUGAGGUAACGGCUCACCAAGGCGACGAUCCGUAGCUGGUCUGAGAGGACGACCAGCCACACUGGGACUGAGACACGGCCCAGACUCCUACGGGAGGCAGCAGUGGGAAUAUUGGACAAUGGGGCAACCCUGAUCCAGCGACGCCGCGUGUGUGAAGAAGGCCU
rnacentral:rRNA from 1 species